AAAUCACAAUUUCUCCUAAAACAUAGCAAUUUACCAUUUAAACCCAUUUUCCAUAAAAUCACACAAUUGUAUAAAACUACUCUAGAUAAUUAAGACGAUAAUAAGUUUACUCACAGUUUCCGAAAACUAAAUUCCGGUACUCCAACUAUUACUCCUCAGGUGCGAUUUCUUUGCCCUUGCUAGAGGAUUCGUCACCUUGACAAAUUGCACAAUUAAGAGGUGUACUACUUUGGUACUAAACCAAAAUAAACUAAUUUAUACUACUAAUGCAUGAUAUGAAGUGCAAAAUGUCUAAAUUUUGCCUAAACACGAUGUUAGCCUAUUUCGGUCUUUUACCCGAUAAAUCGAUAUACGCGUCCGUUUAAACUCCAAAUUAAUUUUUUUCAGUUUUUAUACCUCAAUUGCACCCAAAUUGACUUAAUGUUCCUCAAUGAGGUGCAAAUUAUCAGUCUCGGUAACAAAUUACGAAAAUACCCCUAGUGGGUAAAAAUUCGUAUUUUUGCUCUGAAAAUUCCCAUUAUUUUUCUAAGCUCAUAAUUCAUCAUUAUUCAUCAUAAUUCCUCAAUAAACAUCAAAAUCAGCAGCCAAUAUUCCCCUAAAAAAUUCAGCCAAUAAUGGUAAUGGAGGAAAAUGAAUUCUUUUCUUGUUGUUUUGUUCCUAAAUAUGCUAAACUAACUAAAAACACUAACAUAACUUAAAAUCAAAUUAAUCUAACUUCAUUCUCUCUCCAUACCCAUUUGGGCAGCCAUGAAUUCACCAUGAAAACAUGAAAUCUAACCAUGGAAAAUAAGGAGAAAAGCAUGGGAAAGGUAGAUCACAAGUCAAAAUCAAGAAAUUUUACCUUUGAUUGCUUGAUUCCUUGAAAUCCACCAAUUUUCCUUUAAUUUUCCCACCUAGGUUUCUUGUUUUUUCCUUUCCUCCUUUUGUUCUUCCUUUUUCUUUGUUUGGC
rnacentral:lncRNA from 1 species